rnacentral:tRNA from 1 species
CAGAAGAUAGUUUAUGAAAAUUUUAAUUUUGGAGAUUAAAGAUAAGAAUAUUUUUCUUUCUUCUGA